rnacentral:rRNA from 1 species
AAUGAACGCUGGCGGCAUGCCUAACACAUGCAAGUCGAACGAGACCUUCGGGUCUAGUGGCGCACGGGUGCGUAACGCGUGGGAAGCUGAACUUAGGUUCGGAAUAACUCCCCGACAGGGGUGCUAAUACCGGAUAAUGUCUUCGGCCCAAAGAUUUAUCGCCUUUGGUUGGGCCCGCGUUGGAUUAGCUAGUUGUUAGGGUAAAAGCAUAACAAGGGGAGGAUCCAUAGCUGGUCUGAGAGAAUGAUCAGCCACACUAGGAGUGAGACACGGCCCAGACUCCUACGGGAGGGAGCAGAGGGGAAUAGUGGACAAUGGGCUGAGGGAUGAACGAGCAAGGACGGGAGAGUGAUGAUGGUAGGAGGGUUGUAUAGUUCAAUUAACCGGGAUGAUAAUGACAGUACCGGGUGAGUAAGCUACGGCUAACUACGUG